rnacentral:rRNA from 1 species
UGAGGAAUAUUGGUCAAUGGGCGAAAGCCUGAACCAGCCAAGUAGCGUGCAGGAUGACGGCCCUAUGGGUUGUAAACUGCUUUUAUGCGGGGAUAAAGGACGCCACGUGUGGUGUUUUGCAGGUACCGCAUGAAUAAGGACCGGCUAAUUCCGUGCCAGCAGCCGCGGUAAUACGGAAGGUCCGGGCGUUAUCCGGAUUUAUUGGGUUUAAAGGGAGCGUAGGCUGUCUGGUAAGCGUGUUGUGAAAUGUAGGCGCUCAACGUCUGAAUUGCAGCGCGAACUACCGGACUUGAGUGCGCAGGAAGUAGGCGGAAUUCGUGGUGUAGCGGUGAAAUGCUUAGAUAUCACGAAGAACUCCGAUUGCGAAGGCAGCUUGCUGUAGCGUUACUGACGCUGAAGCUCGAAAGCGCGGGUAUCGAACAGGA